rnacentral:rRNA from 1 species
UACAGAGGGUGCGAGCGUUAAUCGGAAUUACUGGGCGUAAAGCGCGCGUAGGCGGUUUUGCAAGUCGGGUGUGAAAUCCCCAGGCUUAACCUGGGAACUGCAUUCGAGACUGCAUUACUAGAGUAUGGGAGAGGGAAGUGGAAUUUCCGGUGUAGCGGUGAAAUGCGUAGAUAUCAGGAAGAACACCAAUGGCGAAAGCAGCUUUCUGGGACGGUACUGACGCUGAGACGCGAAAGCGUGGGGAGCGAACAGG